CUUACCACAGUAGGCGAACUUCAGCGAGAGGACGCAGCUCUCGUGCAGGUGCAGCUGGUACUUGUCGGGCUUGGAGACAUGCAGGGCUUCU